rnacentral:rRNA from 1 species
UGGGGAAUUUUGGACAAUGGGCGAAAGCCUGAUCCAGCAAUGCCGCGUGUGUGAAGAAGGCCUUCGGGUUGUAAAGCACUUUUGUCCGGAAAGAAAUCCUUGGCUCUAAUACAGUCGGGGGAUGACGGUACCGGAAGAAUAAGCACCGGCUAACUACGUGCCAGCAGCCGCGGUAAUACGUAGGGUGCAAGCGUUAAUCGGAAUUACUGGGCGUAAAGCGUGCGCAGGCGGUUUGCUAAGACCGAUGUGAAAUCCCCGGGCUCAACCGGGAACUGCAUUGGUGACUGGCAGGCUAGAGUAUGGCAGAGGGGGGUAGAAUUCCACGUGUAGCAGUGAAAUGCGUAGAGAUGUGGAGGAAUACCGAUGGCGAAGGCAGCCCCCUGGGCCAAUACUGACGCUCAUGCACGAAAGCGUGGGGAGCAAACAGGAUUAGAUACCCUGGUAGUCCACGCCCUAAACGAUGUCAACUAGUUGUUGGGGAUUCAUUUCCUUAGUAACGUAGCUAACGCGUGAAGUUGACCGCCUGGGGAGUACGGUCGCAAGAUUAAAACUCAAAU